rnacentral:rRNA from 1 species
CCUACGGGGGGCAGCAGUGGGGAAUAUUGCACAAUGGGGGAAACCCUGAUGCAGCGACGCCGCGUGAGUGAAGAAGUAUUUCGGUACGUAAAGCUCUAUCAGCAGGGAAGAAAAUGACGGUACCUGACUAAGAAGCCCCGGCUAACUACGUGCCAGCAGCCGCGGUAAUACGUAGGGGGCAAGCGUUAUCCGGAUUUACUGGGUGUAAAGGGAGCGUAGACGGCAGCGCAAGUCUGGCGUGAAAUCCCAUGGCUUAACCAUGGAACUGCUUUGGACACUGUGCAGCUAGAGUGCAGGAGCGGUAA